CUGGAAGAAAAGAGGAUGAGGGAAACCUUUCCCUUGUGUAGUUUUGUGCUCUGAUUUAAUUUUUUUUACCAUAUGUAUUUUUUUCCAGUUAAAAA